AAGCCUUCACAUACAUAGGAACCUUUUCUAACUGACAGGUAUUCAUAGGCUUUGUGUGCUGUUUAAUAAGUUCAAUUUCAGUAGAAAAUUUUCUCUUUAAUUUUUCAUUCUGUGUCAUUACAACUAAGGUGGAUUCAAGGUCCAACUGUUGAGACCUACUCGUAUAAUUGGAAGACCCAAUCGUCGUUAAAAAAGGAUGCUUGUGAUGUUGUGUACUCAACCAAAAUCCUAAAAUAGUGUUAGUGAAUUUUUCAAAGAUAUAUGACUUAAGUGCCGUGCUCCAAAAAAUAUUUAUAAUGGAAAACGACAGACUGUAGUGUUUACCUUUAGCAUGAUAUGUAUUCCCCUUAUUUUGCCAUUGUAAGACAUCAAUAUUUCUUUUCUUCUUUCUUGAAUCUUUAAGAAAUUGUUCAGCAAUAUACUGAUACGCUGGUGGAAUUAAUUUCGAUGGUCCAGGAGAUCGAUAAAAUCCAUUAGCCUGUUGAGAAGCCACGAUUACUUCCCCUAUACCUUCAGAUUUCAACAACUGUUUUCUAAGUGCUGGAUAAACAUUAAAAUAGCCAGCCGUUAAGGUCCAAUUAACCUCCUUGCGCGAUAGCAAGGUCCCGAUUAUAGACAAGACCUUUUCUUCAGUAGAAUGUACGUCAGAAGUAAGGAUAGGUACACAUUGAAAAAGUGGGUAUACGAUAGCAGAUUCUUCAUAUUUAUGAAAUGGCUUAUUGUUGUCAUCACCUGCUUGAUUAAUUAAUUCAGAGCCAUAUACUGAUGAUAACGGUUUAGAAGGGUUGCGAGACAAGAAUUUCUCUCGAUUCCCCUGAAGAAGUUGUUGAAUUUUAGCAGAAGCUGCUACCCGAAACUCUUGAGGAUUUGUUAAAGGAUUUGGACAUGAAUUGUUCCAUUUCAAAGUAAAAGGAAUAACCGGGGACGUAGAAGAUAGUUGAAUUGAGGAAUCGGAUAAAUGAGGGAUACACUCAAAAGAAAGCUGUGAAAACAAAAAAUGCGUUUUAAAGAAAAAGUCCGCUAAACCCUUAUCACUAAACAAAUAAUACCGGUCUUUUCGAUUUGUAAAGUAAUCUCUCGAAAGAUUGGCUCUAUUCGUUAGUAUAGUAAAUAAUCAUUUGCCUUUACCCGCUGAUAAUGAGGUUAUCAUCUGCACCAUAUAUUUUCAUAUGCUGCAAUCCCCAUCCCUCAUUAAAUCUGUGUGGAACCAAUUGCUUUCUUAGUCCACGCAAAUUCGGUGUAUGGUAAAGCUUGAUUUCGCAUCUAUCAGGAAACUUCUUUUUCAAUUGCAUUAAUAGAGAUGCAGAGCAACAACCAGGGCUUUCCCUAGUACACCGCAAUUGAUCUGCCAGAAUGUGAACAUGCAAAGAGGGAUUGUUGCUUAGCGCAUUUGAUAGACAAUUGAUCAAUUCUCGCUCUUCUUUUCCAAUGUAUAGCGUUGAUAGAAAUAUUCUUUUUUGAGCUUUUUUGAUUAAUUUUUUCAAGCGUUGAUAAAACUCAGGAGGUUCAUGAAUGAUAUCAAUAUCAUCAACGUUAACAUAGAAUUUGGGACACACACCGUCAAUCUGAGAUUCCAAGUUGACAAAUAUGUUUUUCUCUAUUCCUUCAUCCAUUAGGCUGUUUAAAUUGGUGUGCUAGGUUAGUGUGAGAUACAUUGAGCUUGCAAACCCGUUCAUGCAGUAGAAAGGUCAAUAUCCAACGGUAAUUUGAACGUGAAAUAUAGAGAAAAAUGGUAUAAAAGCAGAACUUCCAUGUUAUAUUAAAAAUAAAAAGUAUCAAAUUGACUCUAACUUACUUAACAAAAAAUAAUAUACCGAUCACGAAAUA